CUCCACACCGCCUUGCAAGCUGAGGGAGCCGGCUCCGGCCUCUGCCAGCCCAGGAAGGGGCUCCCACAGUGCAGCGGCGGGCUGAAGGACUCCUCAAGUGCCACCAAAGUGGGAGCCCAGGCAGAGGAGGCGCCGAGAGCGAGCGAGGGCUGCCUGCCAGCACGCUGUCACGUCUCAGCAAUAGACUGCUCUUGAGUUCCAGGAUACAUGUGCAGGAUGUGCAAGUUUGCUACAUGGGUAAAUAUGUGCCAUGGCAGUUUGCUGCAUCUAUUAACCCAUUACCUAGGUAUUAAGCCCGAUCCCAGAAAACCUGCAGAGAGAAGCAGCAGCUGGACCUCGGGAUGACUAUGGCUGGACGUCAGGAGAGAAGCAGUUUGACUUCAGAGGGACAGCUUGAUGGUGUAACUUCAGAGAAGAAUCUGGUUAGAGAUGGCUAGACUCCAGGAAAAGAUUACCUACCCUUCCCCUACCCUUUUCUCAGCUCCCCUUCCCACUGAGAGCCACUUUCACCGCAAUAAAAUCCCCCACAUGCACUAUCCUUC
rnacentral:lncRNA from 10 species